rnacentral:lncRNA from 1 species
AGAAUGUAUGAUAUAUGUCUAUUAAUAAUGUCAUGCUGUGUGCUCCACAAUUUAUGUAAUGAUAAAGAUGACUUGCCAAAUGAUGUUGAUCCAAAUGCUACUGAAGGAAACAUGGAAGAAAUUGCAACUAUAUAUAAUGAUAGAAACAAUUCAAGUAUUCGACGAGAACUUGAAUUACAACGUGAUGAAAUAGCUCAUUCUUUAAAAUAUUUUUAAACUAUAUAUCUCAUUAAACAUUUUAAGGAUUAGAAAGAUGUUUAUACUCACAAUUGUUCAUAACAACCAAUAUUACCUUGUAUAAUAAUAUAAUAUAUUGC